UACGGGGGGUGCAAGCGUUGUUCGGAAUCACUGGGCGUAAAGCGCACGUAGGCGGACUCUUAAGUCGGGGGUGAAAUCCUGGAGCUCAACUCCAGAACUGCCUUCGAUACUGGGAGUCUUGAGUUCGGGAGAGGUGAGUGGAACUGCGAGUGUAGAGGUGAAAUUCGUAGAUAUUCGCAAGAACACCAGUGGCGAAGGCGGCUCACUGGCCCGAUACUGACGCUGAGGUGCGAAAGCGUGGGGAGCAAACAGG
rnacentral:rRNA from 1 species